GGGGUUUUCCUUUGUGCUUGAUCUAACCAUGUGGUAGAACAAUACAUAUUGAACAUGGUUCUGUCAAGCACCAUGGAAGGCCAC
ensembl:miRNA xtr-mir-218-2 xtr-mir-218-2